CUGUCGCCGACCUGCGCGGGGUGGAAGUGCUGCUGGAUUGCCUCCUGGUAGGGAAGCCUUUCGGGCGUCAAGAAGCUGGAGAGCUCGGCCACUGGGCAGCUGUCUCCGAAGAGCCUGGGCGAGAGGGACAGCGUCGUGCGCCAGUGCUUCAGGGCCGGCGCCGGCGCCAUCGCCAUCGCCGCGGGCUCACUCCUCUCCCCGGAAGGCCCCAAACGCCGCCGGCGCGGGCGACGGCCUGGAACCAAAGGUUCCGGCGUGCGAAGGGCGCCUCCCGGGCCCGGGCAGCUUUUGUUGGAACACCGGCGGCUCUGUGAAGCCUCGAAGUUCUGAACUUUGAACAGCGAGCCGAUAGCUAAAAGCCGCGAAAAGCCGCGCUUCCGAGACUCUCCUCUUAUCUCGUCCGAGCUGGUGGCCACUGGGCAAAUCCCUAAACAGGAAGUUGGACGCUUUGAUUCUGCAAAAGGUCUGGGACGGAGACUGACCAUUAGGCGCGACGGGUGGAAGCCUGGGUUGCCGCCGGCGCAGCUCACCUAGUCCCAGAAUUUGCAGGCGGGAACCUCCUUGCCUUCCGGUCCCAGCCCGACCUCUGGCUAUUUCGAGCCAAUCGGCGCAGAUGGGUUAAAUAGGGAGGGCUUUGCACCCCCGUAACUUACCUCAGCUUCCUCUACUACAUGUUUUAUUUUACGUAUAUGGAACUGCUGCCCAUCGCCUGAAACUCUGAAAGAUUUUGAUUUGAGAUGGCAGAUCACAGACAUAGAAUUCAUGAUCCUAACAGAAUAAUGUAUUUCCCUACACGAGGACUGAAGAGUUCAGAGAAGCCAUAAUGCCAGAAACACCUUCAAUUUCAUCCUCACGUUACUCUGGUAAUCUACUGGCAGCUUUUUUUCCCCUCCUGGGAAUGCUACAAAGUCCUUGUCUUUAAAAUCAUUAGGAAGAAAAGUAUAUACACAAUAUGAGCCCUGAUAUUUUAAUGGAAAUACUGACCAAGUUUACAACAUUUCAAAUGCAGAUCAUAGGGAAAGGUGACUAAGUACAAAAUACCAAACGUGAUUUAAAAUAUAACUUGCUGCUAUAAGACAGGCUGAGUUGAGCUUGGACUUCAGAUGGCAGGAGGGAUAAAAAUACUGUUUUUGAAACUCUUGCUGUAGGUGAAGCUCACCCUUCUUUUGGUAGCACUGGUAGGAUGGGGUUUUCUCCUCAAUUGGCCCCUGAAACCUUAUCCUGACCUGCAAGCAGCUGCUCUGGACUUAACCCUAUGCAGAGACAGCAAUAAUUGGGGCUGCCCCGGUCAGGUCCCAUCAGUUCCCCCCAGUAAUUCCAAGUCAACAUUAUCUUUCUUAAGCAAGCAGAGGGUGACAAGUAAGUUAUUGCUGGGAAAACCUGAAGAUCUCCCCCCACACCCCCCAAUCAGUAUCACUCCACCUCCCAAGUCAGGCAUUGCCCCAGCUUCACCAGAGAAUCUCCCUCACAAGGUUCUUCUGCCACCCUACACUUCUGGGCUCUGAGUCUCCUGUACUUGUCCCAUCCCUCUACUGCACCCUCCCACCUCCAACAAAAAGUCUGGGACUUUUUUGGAAUUGGAAAAGUCUACCAUGUGUUAUGAAAGUCCAGAGCCAAAAAAUUUGUGGUUUUGUUGUGGUGAUGUUGGGGAUUUUUAAUUAAAAAGCAAACAAAACCACACAAAACACUGCUGGUUACUUUACAACUAUCACUAGGGUAAUGGUGGAGAAAAAUCCACCGUGGUACUGGAAGGGGCUCAGUUGGUCUUUGUUCAGAAAGUCCAGCUGACCACAUAUAAAAAUCCUAAUCACUCAUGUUUAAAUAUCUGCCAGUUUAAAUUUAUGUAAUUAAAAAAAUAUAUAUGUAUA